rnacentral:lncRNA from 1 species
GCGGUUGUGGUUUUGGACUUGGCACUGGUGGUGGAGGAGAGUGGACCGGAGGCGCCUGUGGUUUUGGACUUGGCACUGGAGGUGGAAGUGAUGUCACUGGUGGUGGUGGAGAGUUGACCGGAUGUGGCUUUGGUUUUGGACUUGGCACUGGAGGUGGAGGUGAUGCCACUGGUGGUGGUGGAGAGUUGACUGGAGGUGGCUUUGGUUUUGGACUUGGCACCUCUGGAGGUGGAGGUGAUGUCACUGGUGGUGGUGGAGAGUUGACUGGAGGUGGCUUUGGUUUUGGACUUGGCACCUCUGGAGGUGGAGGUGAUGCCAUUGGUGGUGGUGGAGAGUUGACUGGAGGUGGCUUUAGUUUUGGACUUGGGACUGGUGGUGGAGGUGAUGCCACUGGUGGUGGUGGAGACUGAACCGUAGACGGCUGUGGUUUUGGACUUGGCGCUGGUGGUAGAGGUGAUGCCGCUGGUGGUGGUGGAGAGUGAACCGGAGGUGGCUUUGGUUUUGGACUUGGCACUGGAGGUGGAGAUGAUGCCACAGGUGGUGGUGGAGAGUGAACCGGAGGUGGAUUUGGUUUUGGACUUGGUACUGGUGGGGGCGGUGAUGCCACGGGUGGUGGUGGAGAGUGAACCGGUACUGGUGGGGGCGGUGAUGCCACGGGUGGUAGUGGAGAGUGAACCGGAGGUGGUUUUGGUUUUGGACUUGGCACUGGCGGAGGCGGUGAUGCCACGGGUGGUGGUAAAGGUGAAAUCUUGGGUGGAUUAGACUUAGGUGGUUUUGGGGUUGAAGGAGUUCUU